rnacentral:rRNA from 1 species
AGUGAACGCUGGCGGUAGGCCUAACACAUGCAAGUCGAACGGAAGCACAGUAAGAGCUUGCUCUUACGGGUGGCGAGUGGCGGACGGGUGAGGAAUACAUCGGACUCUACUUUUUCGUGGGGGUUAAGGAAGGGAAAGUUAAGCUAAUACCGGAUACGACGUAGGGUGGAAAGGGGGGGAAAUUCGGACCUGGCGGGGUUGAAUGCGCGGAUGUCGAGUUAGUUGGUGGGGGGGGUAAAGACCAAGCAAGGCGAGGAUACGUAGCUGGUCUGGGAGACGGAUCAGCGACACUGGAGCUGAGACACGGUCCAUACUCCUACGGUAGGCACCAGUGUGGAAUAUUGGACAAUGGGCGCAAGCCUUAUCCAGCCAUACCGCGUGUGUGAAGAAGGCCUUCGGUUUGUAAAGCCCGUUUUUUGGUAAAGAACAGCAUCAGGUUAAUACCCCGCUUUUCUGACGGUACCCAAAGAAUAAGCACCGGCUAACUUCGUG